rnacentral:rRNA from 1 species
GACGAACGCUGGCGGCGUGCUUAACACAUGCAAGUCGAACGAGGAUCAAUUUGGAAAGCUUCGGCCGGAAGGAUUGAUUCGAGUGGCGGACGGGUGAGUAACGCGUGAACAAUCUGUCCCAGACAGGGGGAUAACACUUGGAAACAGGUGCUAAUACCGCAUAAGACCACGGAAUCGCAUGGUGCAGGGGUAAAAGGAGCAAUCCGGUUUGGGGUGAGUUCGCGUCCGAUUAGCCAGUUGGGGGGGUAACGGCCCACCAAAGCGACGAUCGGUAGCCGACCUGAGAGGGUGAUCGGCCACAUUGGAACUGAGAGACGGUCCAA